GGGAUCAGAUACCGCCCUAGUUCUGACCGUAAACGAUGCCAACUAGCGAUCCGCCGGCGGAUUCAUUCGCCCUGGUGGGGAGCUUCCCGGAAACGAAAGUCUUCCGGUUCCGGGGGAAGUAUGGUUGCAAAGCUGAAACUUAAAGGAAUUGACGGAAGGGCACCACCAGGAGUGGAGCCUGCGGCUUAAUUUGACUCAACACGGGGAAACUCACCCGGCCCGGACACCGUAAGGAUUGACAGAUUGAUAGCUUUUUCAUGAUUCGGUGGAUGGUGGUGCAUGGCCGUUCUUAGUUCGUGGAGCGAUUUGUCUGGUUUAUUCCGAUAACGAGCGAGACUCUGGCCUACUAAAUAGUUGGCACAUUGCCACUGUGUGCCCAACUUCUUAGAGGGAUUUUCGGUGUUCAGCCGCACGAAAUUGAGCAAUAACAGGUCUGUGAUGCCCUUAGAUGUCCGGGGCUGCACGCGCGCUACACUGGCAAAAUCAGCGUGCUUGUCCUCCCCCGAAAGGGGUUGGUAAACCGAUGAAAAUUUGCCGUGAUUGGGAUCGGACAUUGCAAUUAUUGUCCGUGAACGAGGAAUCCCUUGUAAGGGCGAGUCAUCAACUCGUCCUGAAUACGUCCCCGCCCUUGU
rnacentral:rRNA from 1 species